GCCGGCGAGAGGGAGAAGGAAAGGGCGCCCGGGGAGCAGCCUGGCAGAGUGACCGGGAUUGAUGAGCGGUCGCAGCUCUGAAGGGACGCGGGCGAGAGGGUCGCUCCUCGGGGAGAGGGCUGGUUUUGUCUUUUCCGGAAUGCCAUAUAUAAGGAAUCAUACAGUAUGCAGUCCUUCUUUCAAUUUUGCUGUGAAACUAAAACUGCUAAGAAAAUAAAGUCUUAAAAAGAAAAAUCAAUGGAGAAGGGAAAGCCGCCCUGCUGGUUGCCUCCCCACCCCUCCUUCCUCUCCGAGCCCUAGCAGCUGUGUUCAGUGUCCCCCUCUUAAAGCAGCCACAUGCUCUGGGAAGACUGGCCCUCUGCAUCACACCUGGCAGUCCCAUUCCUCUCGCUAAUGUGUGGUUCAGGAAUGGGCAGGUGGCCCAAUUCUGAUCAACAAGCCGUGAGAAGAAUCUGCUAGAGGUUUCCUUGCAUCUAAGAAAUGGUCUCUUUCGCCUUUGGACUUGGUUGGGUUUGAAUGUGAUGCCUGGAUCCUCUACAGCCUGAUGACGAAGACCACACCAAGGAUGGCAGACUGGAAGGAUGAAAAGAACCGAGGCCUUCCAGCCUUUGUUGUAUGGCUGACUUAACCAACCUUGAAGGUCGCCUUACCUCACGACUUCCUGUGAGAUGAGACAAAUUUCUUGGUUAAGAUACUCUGACAGGGGUUUUCCGUUUCAUACAACGGAAAGUAUCCUGACUUAAACACCUUUUGAGGCUCUCCCCCAAGCCUUUAUUGAUUUCCUCCUCUUGAAUCACCACCAGCAUUUCUGCAUUUCUCUCAGUACCACGUUUUUUCUAUUCCCCGCACUCCCCACCCCCUUUCUUCUCCAGCUGUUUCUGCCUCAAACAAUACAGGGAAACAUUUUAGGGUGUCUGACAGAUCACACCCACCCGUUUCUCAGACCUUCUCAACCACAAGGUGCUGUCCCACCUCCAGCCAGGUUUGUACUUCACAGCUGAUGGGGUCCUAGUAGAUUCAGGCUGGGCCAACCUGAGGGUCUGUCUCAAUAACAAAGGGAACCCUGCCCUAGGCUGAAGUGCAGGCAGUGUUUACCCAAGAGCUGGGGGUGGGCCCGCAUUUCCAGGAGGAAGCCAAGACUCUCCCUCAUCUCUGCAGAAAAAGGAAGGAAACCUAAACAGAGAAAAACAGUAGCAGAGUCUGACAGCCUGGGUGCCGUGUAUGGUUGUGCAUUUUGUGCUAUGAAAGGCUGCUAUCCCUGCUAAAGGCUUGCUUCUGGAUUUCAAGAGGACUCUGUCUUUGAGGUCUAUGAGAUUUUUAGAUGGAAUCAUUCGUCACAUCCCAUUUGGGCUUUAGCUACUUUGAAGUGAGUAUCUCAGAUUUUCAAAUCAAAGAACCUUGAUUAAAACAAAAGGUCUUCUCACCUCAAAUCCUUUAUGAAAUGAGGUCAACUUAAAAUACUUUUUAGUUAGCUAUGAUAUAAAAUUAAACUAUACUUUUGCUAUAGUUAAUGAAUUAAAUACUGUACCUUCUGUUCCUUGGUCGAAAAGUGAGCAAUUAAAUGGUCUAUUUCUCUAACAAAACAAUUAACUGAGUCCUCAGGAUUUACCACCUACUGUGACCCUCUUGCCCUGUGCCCACACAUACCUACUAAAGACCUGUUUUCAGAUCCCCAGGAAUAACAUAAAAUAGGGCAUAUCUGUCUCAUAAAUAUGAUUGAACAAGCAUAUGUAGAGCACAGUCGUUUCACUUUUAAAAAUCAAUUAUAAUCAUUUGUACAAUAAAAUGAAUUCUGUCUUUCACAUAAU